rnacentral:rRNA from 1 species
AUGUUUUCGCACGGCGCGGAUCCCGCCCACGACGCCUCCGCCGCCGGCGGCGGCGUCGGUGUCAGCGCCGGCGGCCCGCUCGUCCACACCCGCUUCGUCUGGCCCCAUGGCGGCAAGAGGGUCUUCCUCAGCGGUUCCUUCACCAGGUGGUCAGAGCAUUUGCCGAUGUCUCCAGUCGAAGGUUGCCCCACUGUAUUUCAAGCUAUCUGCAGCUUACCUCCAGGGAUUUAUCAGUACAAGUUCAAUGUGGACGGGCAGUGGAGGCAUGACGAGGGGCAACCUACUAUAACGGGAGAGUAUGGGGUGGUAAACACUUUGUACUUGACAAGGGAAUUUGACCACAUAAAUACUGUACUGAGCCCCACUACACCUGGGAGCAGGAUGGAUGUGGACAAUGAUAGUUUUCAACGAAUGGGUUCGUUGUUGGAUGGUGCCCUUCAGGAAGGUUCUCCAAGAAUUUCAGAGGCUGCUAUACAGAUCUCUAGGUGUCGUGUUGCUGAGUAUCUGAAUGCGCAUACAGGCCAUGACCUACUACCAGAUUCUGGAAAGGUCAUUGCUCUGGACAUUAAUUUACCUGUGAAGCAAUCUUUCCAUAUUCUCCAUGAACAGGGGAUUCCUGUGGCUCCUCUGUGGGAUUCAUUCAGGGGUCAGUUUGUUGGCCUUCUGAGCCCACUGGAUUUUAUACUUAUAUUGAGAGAGCUGGAAACGCAUGGCUCAAACCUGACAGAGGAACAGCUUGAAACACACACUAUAUCUGCGUGGAAAGAGGCUAAGCGGCAAACUUAUGGAAGAAAUGAUGGACAACUUAGAUCAAAUCAGCAUCUAGUGCAUGCCACCCCUUAUGAAUCCUUGAGGGGUAUUGCCAUGAAAAUACUUGAAACUGGUAUUUCUACAGUACCAAUCAUCUAUUCAUCGUCAUCAGAUGGAUCGUUUCCGCAGCUGUUGCAUCUUGCAUCCCUUUCAGGAAUUUUGAAAUGUAUCUGUAGAUACUUUAAGAACUCCACUGGUAGUUUGCCGAUUCUAAACCAACCAGUAUGCUCAAUUCCGCUGGGUACAUGGGUUCCAAAAAUUGGUGAACCAAAUGGUCAUCCAUUGGCUAUGUUGCGGCCUAAUACAUCUCUUAGCUCUGCCCUUAACUUGUUGGUUCAAGCUGGAGUUAGUUCAAUACCCAUUGUGGAUGAUAAUGACUCGCUGAUCGACACAUACUCCAGAAGUGACAUCACAGCUCUAGCAAAAGACAAGGUCUACACCCAUAUUCGCCUAGAUGAGAUGACCAUUCAUCAGGCCUUGCAACUUGGGCAAGACGCGAAUUCACCUUUUGGACUUUUCAACGGUCAAAGAUGCCAGAUGUGUCUUCGGUCUGACCCUUUGCUGAAGGUUAUGGAGAGAUUGGCUAAUCCUGGGGUGCGUCGCGUGUUCAUCGUGGAGGCUGGCAGCAAGCGAGUGGAAGGCGUAAUAUCGCUGAGCGACAUAUUCAAGUUGCUGCUGAGCUAG